rnacentral:rRNA from 1 species
GACGAACGCUGGCGGCGUGCUUAACACAUGCAAGUCGAACGGAAAGGCCCUGCUUUUGUGGGGUGCUCGAGUGGCGAACGGGUGAGUAACACGUGAGUAACCUGCCCUUGACUUUGGGAUAACUUCAGGAAACUGGGGCUAAUACCGGAUAGGAGCUCCUGCUGCAUGGUGGGGGUUGGAAAGUUUCGGCGGUUGGGGAUGGACUCGCGGCUUAUCAGCUUGUUGGUGGGGUAGUGGCUUACCAAGGCUUUGACGGGUAGCCGGCCUGAGCGGGUGACCGGCCCCAUGGGGACUGAGAUGCGGCACAGCCUCCUACGGGGGGCAGCAGGGGGGAAUAUUGCACAAUGGGCGGAAGCCUGAUGCAGCAACGCCGCGUGCGGGAUGACGGCCUGGGUUGUAAACCGCUUUCGCCUGUGACGAAGCGUGAGUGACGGUAAUGGGUAAAGAAGCACCGGCUAACUACGUG